CCCGCCGGCAGGGGGCGCUGCCGCACGGGGGGCCCGGCCGUGUGUGGGAGCCCACAGAGGGUUUGUCCAGCGCGGAGAAAAUGCCAGAAUCCCAGAAACACAGAGUCACAAACUAGGCUGCGAGAGACCUCCGAGAUCCUCGACUAUGACCAAACACCACAGUGUCAACAAGACCGUGGUACUCGGUGCUUUGUCCAGUUUUCCUUAAACACCUCCAGGGACGAUGACUCCACCACCUCCCUGGGCAGCCCAUUCCAACAAACAAUCACCCUCUGAGUGAAGAAAUUCUUCCUAAAAUCCACCUAAAAAUUUCUUGAUGCAGUUUAAGACUGUGUCUUCUCAUCCUGUCGCUGGUUGCCUGGGAGAAGAGCCUGACGCCGAUCUGGCUACAGCCUCCUUUCAGGUGAUUGUAGAGAGCGGUACGGUCUCCCCUGAGCCUCCUCCUCUCCAGGCUGGACAAUCCAGCUCCCUCAGCCGCUCCCUAUGUGACACUUGUUCUGUCGCUCUUCUCUGGAUCUGCUCCAGCCCGUUGAUAUCCUUCCUGAAUGAAGCAGCCCAGAAUGGACACAGGAUUCUAGAUGUGGGCUCACCAGUACCAAACAGGCCACACCUCAGGCCCAGAAAUUACUUUCUGAAACGGCCUUUUUCUUCUUAUUAUGUGGUAGUAACUGUAACAAAUAGAGCAACGAAUCUGUUACCUAACACUGUAGCUAUGGAGAGCUCACAAUUCAUUGGAGACACAUCUAAAUACCCCCUGGAUACAUUUUUACCUUAUGAUGUAAAACGUUAAGGAAACAAGACUGAGACUAUUUAACCCUGGAAGUGUUUCCAUUCUAUCUUUGAUAUCUCGAUUUUCUUGACUGAAUGUCUGAGAACAUAACUGUACACAUCCUCUUGUUUCUGGAUGCUGAUGACCUUCAACAGCUGUCAAAACUGUGCAAGAUCUUCCAGCAGGCUUUUGUUUGGGCUGUUCAGGACUAACACUGCAAAUAAAUGCCAGAAGAGAAACUGCAUUCAGCAUGAAGAACAGUAUUGGCUUAACCACAGAUGGACCUCCAAAGACACUCCAAAAACAACUUUCAGCCAUUCGGUUUUAAAUUAAAAGAAGCAACAGAAUGUAUUUUAAAACUGAAUGUGAACUUGUCUGUACAAUGUUUGGAGUUGAAUAAACUUCUCUUUAAAGCUGGAACAAGC